AGUUAAGUGACGAUAGCCUAGGAGAUACACCUGUUCCCAUGCCGAACACAGAAGUUAAGCCCUAGUACGCCUGAUGUAGUUGGGGGUUGCCCCCUGUUAGAUACGGUAGUCGCUUAGCAC
rnacentral:rRNA from 1 species